rnacentral:SRP_RNA from 1 species
GCCAGGUGCAGUGGCGCGUGCCUGUAGUCCCAGCUACUCAAGAGGCUGAGGUGGGAGGAUCGCUUGAGCCCGGCAGUUCUGGUCUGUAGUGCACUAUGCUGAUAGAGUGUCCACACUAAGUAUGUCAUCAAUAUGGUGACCUCCCGGGAGCGGGGGACCACUAGGUUGCCUAAGGAGGGGUGAACCGGCCCAGGUCAGAAACGGAGCAGGUCGAAACUGUGCUGAUCAGUAGUGGGAUUGCGCCUGUGAAUAGCCACUGCACUCCAAAUUGGGCAACACAGUGAGACCCCGUCUUU